rnacentral:rRNA from 1 species
CCUACGGGCGGCUGCAGUGGGGAAUAUUGGACAAUGGGGGGAACCCUGAUCCAGCCAUGCCGCGUGUGUGAAGAAGGCCCUCGGGUUGUAAAGCACUUUCAGUGAGGAAGAACGCCUGGUGGUUAAUACCCAUCAGGAAAGACAUCACUCACAGAAGAAGCACCGGCUAACUCCGUGCCAGCAGCCGCGGUAAUACGGAGGGUGCGAGCGUUAAUCGGAAUUACUGGGCGUAAAGCGCGCGUAGGUGGCUUGAUAAGCCGGUUGUGAAAGCCCCGGGCUCAACCUGGGAACGGCAUCCGGAACUGUCAAGCUAGAGUGCAGGAGAGGAAGGUAGAAUUCCCGGUGUAGCGGUGAAAUGCGUAGAGAUCGGGAGGAAUACCAGUGGCGAAGGCGGCCUUCUGGACUGACACUGACACUGAGGUGCGAAAGCGUGGGUAGCGAACAGGAUUAGAUACCCGGGUAGUC